rnacentral:rRNA from 1 species
GUUGGUGGUUUGAGCGGUGGGGGUACACCCGGUCCACCCGGUCGUUAAGCCCACCAGCGCGGAUGGUACUGCCCUGGUAACGGGGUGGGAGAGUACGCCACUGCCAACC